UAUAAAGGAAGUAUCUUUAUAAACUCCUGACAAUUUUGCCUGUGAUUAUUAAAGAUGUUAGUAUCACAGAAAGAGAAAAAAAUUACUAAAAUUCAUGCAGACUCACAAAACUCUGAAUAGCCAUAGACAUCCUGAACAAAAAGAGUGAGGCUGGCAGAACCACACUAUUUGAUCUCAAAUAUAUUAGAAAACUAUGGUAAUGAAAACUAUGUGGUACUGGCAUAAAAACAGACAUGGAAAUGAAUGGAACCAAUAAAAAAAGAAUAUUAAAUCCACACAUUCACAAUCGACUGAUCUUCAGCAAAGGAGUCAAGAACACAAACUGUGGAAGGGACACUCUCUUGAGUAAAUGGGGCUGGACAACUGGAUAUCCACAUGCAGACAAAUGAAAUUAGUCCCAUGAUGCUCUCCAUAUCCAAAAGCUAAAGACUUAAAUAGAUUAAGACGUAAAUGAGAAGCCUGACACUGUAAAACUACUACCUAUGGACAAAACUCCAUGAAGUUGUUCUGGGCAACGAUUUUUUAUAUGACCCCUAAGGCACAUCUUCCCAUGUGAUUAGUUGUUCAAUAACUGUACAUGGCUGAGUUGAAGAUCAGAAUCAUACAAUGUAAAAUCCUAACUAUGAGAAAUCACAAUGUGGCAUACCGCCCAAACAAUGCAUUUUUCACCUUAGUUUUCCAUUUGAUUUGAUAAUUUCUGACUUCCAUAAAGACUUUAGACUUUCACAAGUCUACUAUAUAUAAGCCAAACCAGGGUUAUCAUUAAGAAAAUUAUCCGAUCAGUCACAGUUUUUCUUAUUACCAUAUCCUUUUCUUUUUCUUCCGUUAGGAUAUUUUGGGUUUUGUCUUUAAUAAUAUAUAAAUAGAAUUUCUCUGAAAAGGGAAUUUCCUUCCUAUUUUAAAAUAAAUUUUAAUGGGCAUUGAAAUAUUUCUACCUUUCACAAGAAUAAUAAGAAGGCAAUCAUUUGUUUUCUGUUUUAGUUUGAGUCAAAUAUAAUUAUUUUUUAAACAUCAGACAAUACUGAAGAAAAAAAUAUUCUAUUUCUGUAGCACCAGAAAAGAUUUUAUAUAAUGACCAACUUUAAACUUGAGACCAUGACCCUGUCAACUGUCUGGAAAAUGAUUGCAAUGCUUUUUGACCUGGAGUUGGCCAGUGAGCAAGGGACAUCAAGCAGCCAGAGGGUAUGGCACAAUGAGAGCACAGAACUAGAAGAAUUAAGGAAACAGAGACAUAGUUUUCAUAUCAUCAGACUAUACUAGAAUUUAGGCCUCCACCCGUCUCAGGGAAGCACUGUGAUUCUUUGCAAAAACUGUGAGGGAUCCAGAACAUCUGUCUGCUCCAGCUGUGCCAGCCAUUACUAGACACCGGAGGAGCCCUACGUUUUAAAGACUGGAAAUGAAUGGCAUCACUGCUGUAUUUAGAUAAGCAUUUGACGCAAUACAUCCUCAUCUAAAUUACAAACAAAGAAGUGAUAGCAGGGCCUGUGUCGUGGUGCACUGUGGUAAGCUGCUUGCUGUGAUGUCCACAUCCCACACGGAGUGCCUGGGAGCAAGGCACAUCACUUCUGACCCAGCGUCCUGCCAACGCAUCUCCUGGGAGGCAGCGGAUGAUGACUCAAUCCCACUUGGAAGACCUGAACGGAAAUUAAAGAAUCCACCUGUGAUCUGGAUGAAGAAAGGACUGGGAAUCCUUCUGAUGACCAGAUAGAACUGACUGUUUGUGGAGAGGUGAGCCUCAUACCACUGACGAGGGGAGGUGCUGGAGGUGAAAAGGCACCUGGCACGGUGGCUCAUACCAGUUAGCAUGGAAAUGGUUGUUCUCAAAAAUCAGCGGCAAAGACUCUGACACCUCCUCCAAACCCGAAUCUCCAGUGAAUGACAUGGAGCAUAGAUUCUUCCUUUGCUUAGGAGACUCUGAGGUUGCACUUCAUCUACUUUCAACAUAUUAUAUCAGAGUAGCUACGGUGUGUACAAAUGAAAAAGGGAUAUGAAAAAGAUGUUAGGAAUAUCUGACAAAUCAGAAAUACAACACUUGAGGAACCAAAUAUGCUAGUGCAGAAAUUUUAAAGAAAUUUUAAAAAAAUUAAAAUCCUUCUUUCAAAUCUAUCAAAAUAUAUUUUCAUAGUUAAGAAAAUACAUAAAUUCUUUGUUUAAAAAAUUUGACAGGUAGAGUUAUAGACAGAGAGAGAGACAGAGAGAAAGGUCUUCCUUCUGUUGGUUCACUCAAAAAUGGCUGCUAUGGCUGGCGCUGCGCCGAUCUGAAGCCAGGAGCCAGGUGCUUCCUCCUGGUUUCCCAUGCAGGCACAGGGGCCCGAGCACCUGGCCCAUCCUCCACUGCCCUCUGGGGCCACCGCAGAAAGCUGGACUUGAAAAGGAGCAGCCGGGACUGGAACCCAGUGCCCAUAUGGGAUGAUGGCACCGCAGGAGGAGGAUUAACCAAGUGAGUCAUGGUGCCGGCCCCUAUAAAUUCUUUUUUAAGAAAAAUUUAAUCAUCUGUUGAUUUUAAUUUUAUUGUAAAGGCAGAGAAACAGAAAUAGAUGGACCUUCCAUCUGCUGGUUCACUCCCAAAAGCCCACAAUAGCCUUGGCUGGGUUAGGCCAAAGCCAGGAAUAUAAAACUCAAUCCAGAUUUCCUACAUGGGUGGCAGGGACCCACAUACUUGAACCAUCAUCUGCAGCCUCCAAGGGUACUCAUUAUCAGGAAGUUACAACUGGGACCAGAACUGGGACUCAAACGCAGGCACUUGGAUAUAGGAUGCAGGUGUUUCAAGUGGUGUUUUAACUGCUGCACCACUUGGCCCAUGAGGCCCUUCUUUUGUCAUGACUAUAUAUCCUGGUGUGCUCACAAUUCUGGAAAGAUCAACUAUGUACUGAAAGAAAGGUGGCAUUCAGCGAGGUGUAGCAGUAAAUAAAAUGCUUUAAUCUGAGUUCCAGCUCUGCACUGUACUAACCUGGUGACCUUAGCAAAUUUUCUACUAUCUGUGCCUUCUUUUUCUCAUCUCUUAAAUGAGGAAACUGAUAAAACUUACAUCGUUGUGUUGUUGUAAGAAUUAAAUGAGUUAACAUACCUUCAGUACUCAAGACUGAUUCUGGGGCUGGCGCCGCGGCUCACUAGGCUAAUACUUUGCCUGUGGCGCUGGCA